rnacentral:rRNA from 1 species
UACGUAGGGGGCUAGCGUUGUCCGGAAUCAUUGGGCGUAAAGAGCGUGUAGGCGGCCCGGUAAGUCCGCUGUGAAAGUCGGGGGCUCAACCCUCGAAUGCCGGUGGAUACUGUCGGGCUAGAGUGCGGAAGAGGCGAGUGGAAUUCCUGGUGUAGCGAUGAAAUGCGCAGAUAUCAGGAGGAACACCGAUUGCGAAGGCAGCUCGCUGGGACGUUACUGACGCUGAGACGCGAAAGCGUGGGGAGCAAACAGG